rnacentral:rRNA from 1 species
GGCCUAACACAUGCAAGCCGAGCGGUAGAGGUUCUUCGGGAUCUUGAGAGCGGCGUACGGGUGCGUAACACGUGUGCAACCUGCCUUUAUCUAGGGGAUAGCCUUUCGAAAGGAAGAUUAAUACCCUAUAAUAUAUUGAUUGGCAUCAAUUGAUAUUGAAAACUCCGGUGGAUAGAGAUGGGCACGCGCAAGAUUAGAUAGUUGGUGAGGUAACGGCUCACCAAGUCGAUGAUCUUUAGGGGGCCUGAGAGGGUGAUCCCCCACACUGGUACUGAGACACGGACCAGACUCCUACGGGAGGCAGCAGUGAGGAAUAUUGGACAAUGGGUGAGAGCCUGAUCCAGCCAUCCCGCGUGAAGGACGACGGUUCUAUGGAUUGUAAACUUC